rnacentral:lncRNA from 1 species
UGCUCCCACUUACAGGGUAAAUACAGCCAGGGGAGAGGAUGUCACAGAAAAUUAGAGACCAGUCCCAUUUUAUGACAAUCCUAAAAACAUUGUGAUCUUUUUGCUGCCUACUACUUUCUAAGAGUGACAAGUUUCUUUUUCACAGAUAAAACUAAGAUUACAGCUGUUUCGUCCUCCAUUUGUCACAAAUGUUCACUGCUAUCUUUCCCCCUCAGACUAGAGAACAAGUGGCCCAAGUUAGAUCAAUAAGGAAGAUUGUAUUUCAUUCUCUGGUCAUGGUAUUUAGUCAUAAAGAGGUAAGGCCUAUUCUUUCAUCCAGGUCAAUCGUGCUCCUUGUUUAGGAAGCAGUUCUCGUGGUUGAGUGGUAGUUCUACCAUCCAUUUUUAUUUUAUGGUAGCAUCUCAUAGCCUGUCUUUCUUCUUAAUCACUGAGGUUACCUGUACAGUGGUGUUGAUGCCUACUGAAUUGUUUGGAAUGGUUAUGUGCAUUUCUCAAUAUAUAUACACUCUGACAUAUAUUAUAUAUAUGCAUAUAUAUGUCUGAGGAAGUACAUUUUUAAUCUUCUAAUGACUUUGACUUUGUAGCCGGCAAGAUGGCUCAAUAGACGUGCUUGCUGUGAAAGCAAAGGAAUGUGGGUUCAGAAACCAAGAACCAGACAAUGUUCAACCUGGUGGUAUACCUGUGUAAUCUCAUUGUUCUGUGCUGAAAUGUGAGAUGGAUCCAGAAUAAUCCCUGGGAGCUCAUGAACAAGCUGUCCUGAUGUGUGCAGCAGCAAAGAAGACACCCUGGACAAGCUGGAAAGGAAUCUUCAACAGUCCCAAUUGUCUGGCCUCCAUAGGAACACCAGGGUACAUGUAUCUGUGUCAUAUGAACAUUCUCAUGCAUGCUCGCUCGUAUACACACAAAAUUUUAAAAUUAUGUGUUUCUUUUUCAGUUAUAAUGGAAAUUUACUAACGUCUAGAUGGUUCUCUGUUGAAAACUAAGUAUGUAAUGUUAAUAUCUGUUGUGUUUUAUAUUUGUAUUGCAUUUUAGUUAGUUUAUUUUGUGUGUCACAGGAUGUGUGUGGUGGCCAGAGGAUAAUGCAUGAUGACAGUUCUUUCUUUCCACUAUAUGGUUGCCAGGUGUGAACCUCGGGUUAUCCAGCUCAGUGAAAGCUACCUUCACCUACAGAGACAUCUUGCUAGCCUAGGUGUUAUAUUUUAAGGGUGGAUUUUAUGAUCUAAGAAGCAGAGUAACAUUAAAGUUGACAAGAUAAACAGAUUUCUCCAGUGCAUGACUUCUCUGGGUCUUCUCUGAUGGAGACCUGAGAUCAUUAGUAACUAGAGUCUCCUUUAAGAAACAUUAGCUGAGAUUGGUAUUUCUCAAAAUGUCACUUUGGGGCCACUGGCCUAAUUUGCACAGGAGGUGGAGACUAAGGAACUUGUCUCCAAAUAUAAAGAAAGGACAUUAAGGGGCUUUGUAGCAUGCAACUGAUCAAUACCAGAGGUUCCUGUGUGAAUGUAUACACUUAUGAGAGGCAGAAAUGGAACACUUGGAACUGACCUGUGUGUUUUCAUCAGCCACCUGGUACACACAUUACAGCUUGUAUCAAUCAAGAUUUCAUCUUUCAUAUUUGUUCUAGUAGGCUUGAUUAUGAAGAAAGGAAGGGAGAGGAGGCAGGUAAAAUUGCUCUAAAAACAAGUGGAAAUAAAUUGUACAGGAAUAAUUUCUGGGCUGCCUUUAUUGUAAAAAAAUGAAAAGUAAAGUCAGUAGAGCCAAGAAACCACAUCUAUCAGUGUACACACACACACACACACACACACACACACACACACACAUUCUUAGCUGCCCUGGGCUCUUCAUUUUAUAAUAUUACCUAAAGCCUGACUACUACAUGAGAACAUACAUACAAAUGAGAAUUUAAAGCAUAACCAAUACAUUAUUUUAUUAAGUGUUUCUAUUUCAAUAAUGAACACACAAUCACCAAUCUAAAAGUCAUUUCUGGGCCACAUGGGAAGAGGCAUGUGUGUAAGCUUGGAGAUUUGAGUUCAAAUCUUCAGAACACAUAUGUAGGCAGGCAUGAUAAUGCAUCUAUGUAAUCCCAGUUCUCCAGCGGCAACAUGGGAGAUGGAAACAGGUUAAUCCUUAAAAGAUUACUGGCGCAGUAGCCUGACAUAGUCAUUGGUAAAACAAAAAAGAGAGACUGCCUCGGAACAAGGCAGAACGCAAGGACUACUACUCAAGAUUGUCCUAUGAUCUCCACACCCACACAAUGACAUGUUCUUUUAAAAGAAAACUCUCAUCUCAUUCUAUGUAUUGUCUAACUGAUAGAGACUGAGAAAUAUGGAUUUGUAUCGAUUUAUUUUCAAUAAACACCCACUGGAUUCCUAAAUUCCCAUGGAAUAUUGCACAGAGUACACUGUCUACAGUCUACAUCAUUGUCAGGUCUGGUGACAUGAUAUAUAGCAUUAACUUCAUACAAAUUAAUCAAAAUGUAAUUGAUAACCCAAUGAUUUGUGAUGAUUUUCAGGCUUGUCACCAAACAGUCAGUGACUGAAGCUUAUUAACAAGAUUAAAAUGUCAUCUGUUUGUGUGUUUGUUACUUUGGUAGUUUGGGCAGGUAUUUUGCUCUUCAACACCCUUUAAUCCAUUAGAAACCAUGUUUUAAAUGGUUUAUGCUAUAAAAUAUUACAGUAGCAGAAAGUAUAAAUGAAAAAUAAUGAAAGUAGAAUAGAUGACCAAACUCUAUUUUUAAAUUGUGUCUUACGACAAAGCAAUAAACUAGAAAGUAACUCGUCCUACAAGAGGGUUUGAGAUUAAAAUUCUGAAUAGAAGAUUAUUGUUGCUUUCAGUUCAAAAUGACCAAUUUAUAUUGCACCACUAUGAGAAACUCCACACUAUUUUUCAAUGUUUGAGCUACUCAAUUUUCAAGAGAACAGAAGGAAGCGCAGACUCAGAGCAAAUGUUUGCAAAAGACAUUUCAAAAAAAAAUUAGAUACAUGUAUCUGAAGUCUUCUUCCACUCCACCGAGAAGUGAACAAACACCUUAAUAAAAAUUCAACAAAGAUCUUAACAGACUCUUCGUCAAAGAAGAUCUAUGGGUAGCAAUCAAGUAUAAUAAAAAUGCUCAACUUUACAUGUCAUUAUGGAAAUGCAAAUGGAAACAACAAUCAUUGUCAUUUGUGCACCCUUUAAACCAGCCAGCACCAGUUGGUGAGUAUGUAUGGCAAUAGCCACUCUUUUUUAUGUAAAAUCAAAAUAAAAAUGUGUUGUCCACUUUGGAAUACAGUUACAUAGUUUC